CGAGGUGAAACCUAAUUGGCCUGAAGAAGAGCUUGCGUCUGAUUAGCUAGUUGGUGGGGUAAAGGCCUACCAAGGCGACGAUCAGUAGCUGGUCUGAGAGGAUGAGCAGCCACACUGGGACUGAGACACGGCCCAGACUCCUACGGGAGGCAGCAGUGGGGAAUUUUCCGCAAUGGGCGAAAGCCUGACGGAGCAACGCCGCGUGAGGGAGGAAGGUCUUUGGAUUGUAAACCUCUUUUCUCAAGGAAGAAGUUCUGACGGUACUUGAGGAAUCAGCCUCGGCUAACUCCGUGCCAGCAGCCGCGGUAAUACGGGGGAGGCAAGCGUUAUCCGGAAUUAUUGGGCGUAAAGCGUCCGCAGGUGGUCAGCCAAGUCUGCC
rnacentral:rRNA from 1 species